rnacentral:rRNA from 1 species
CCAAUAGCGUAUAUUAAAGUUGUUGCAGUUAAAAAGCUCGUAGUUGAAUUUCGAGAUCAAAUUGUUGGUCGUGCCUUGGUACGUACUGGCAUUAUUGAUUUCUCCCUUCUGAAGAACCACGAUGUCAUUAAUUUGGUGUCAUGGGGAAUCAGGACUGUUACUUUGAAAAAAUUAGAGUGUUUAAAGCAGGCUCACGCUUGAAUACAUUAGCAUGGAAUAAUGAAAUAGGACGUUUGAUUCUAUUUUGUUGGUUUCUAGGAUCGACGUAAUGAUUAAUAGGGAUAGUUGGGGGCAUUAGUAUUCAAUUGUCAGAGGUGAAAUUCUUGGAUUUAUUGAAGACUAACUACUGCGAAAGCAUUUGCCAAGGAUGUUUUCAUUAAUCAAGAACGAAAGUUAGGGGAUCGAAGACGAUCAGAUACCGUCGUAGUCUUAACCAUAAACUAUGCCGACUAGGGAUCGGAUGAUGUUAAUUUUUUAAUGACUCAUUCGGCGCCUUACG